rnacentral:miRNA from 1 species
ACAUGCGAGUGGAGGAUGGGAGGGAUGAGUAACAAAAGUGAAAACAAAAAUUCAAAACUGAAAUCUAUUUGAAAUUGUUUUCACUUUUAAGUUUUUGUUUUCACUUUUGUGACUCCUUCUCAUCCUCCCCUCUCUUUCU